rnacentral:rRNA from 1 species
UACGUAGGGUGCGAGCGUUGUCCGGAUUUAUUGGGCGUAAAGAGCUCGUAGGCGGUUUGGUAAGUCGGAUGUGAAAUCUCCAGGCUCAACCUGGAGGGGUCAUUCGAUACUGCCAUGACUAGAGUUCGGUAGGGGAGUGUGGAAUUCCUGGUGGAGCGGUGAAAUGCGCAGAGAUCAGGAGGAACACCCGUGGCGAAGGCGGCUCUCUGGGACGGUACUGACGCUGAGACGCGAAAGCGUGGGGAGCGAACAGG